rnacentral:rRNA from 1 species
GAUGAACGCUGGCGGCGUGCCUAAUACAUGCAAGUCGAGCGCAGCGAGGACGGUUGAGUAACACUUGGAUACCCUCAUAUACCACUCGGAUAGAUUCGGGAAACCCGAGCUACACCGGCUACUUCUAGAUGGAUCAGCGCUGCAUUAGCUAGUUGGUGAGGUAACGGCUUACCAAGGCCACGAUGCAUAGCCGACCUGAGAGGGGGAUCGGCCACACUGUAACUGAGACACGGUCCAGACUCCUACGGGAGGCAGCAGUAGGGAAUCUUCCGCAAUGGGCGAAAGCCUGACGGAGCAACGCCGCGUGAGUGAAGAAGGUUUUCGGAUCGUAAAACUCUGUUAUUAGGGAAGCGGUACCUAAUCAGAAAGCCACGGCUAACUACGUGCCAGCAGCCGCGGUAAUUC